rnacentral:rRNA from 1 species
GAUGAACGCUGGCGGCGUGCCUAAUACAUGCAAGUCGAGCGAAGCGGGGACGGGUGAGUAACACGUGGAUAACCUCCUAUAAGACUGGGAUAACUUCGGAAAACCGGAGCUAACCCGGAUGCUUAUCGAUGGAUCCGGGCUGCAUUAGCUAGUUGGUAAGGUAACGGCUUACCAAGGCAACGAUGCAUAGCCGACCUGAGAGGGUGAUCGGCCACACUGGAACUGAGACCCGGCCCAGACUCCUACGGGAGGCAGCAGUAGGGAAUCUUCCACAAUGGGCGAAAGCCUGACGGAGCAACGCCGCGUGAGUGAUGAAGGCCUUCGGAUCGUAAAAUUCUUUUAUUAGGGAAGCUUUACCUAAUCAGAAAGCCACGGCUAACUACGUGCCAGCAGCCGCGGUAAUUC